rnacentral:lncRNA from 10 species
UGGGAGGUGGCGAGGGAAGCCACUCAAUAAAAUGAAAGAGAAUUAAAAAAUUCCCUGAACAAGGCACAGCGUGGGGUCCCGAUCAAAGGACCAGGCAGCUUUGGUCCUGUGUGCACGAGCUGGAUGCUCUGAGGCUGGGGGAGAGAUGGGCUUCCAGGCCUCGGUCUCCCUCCCUGUUUCCUUUCCAUCACACACACAAAAACACAUACACACACAAAAAAACACAUACGCACACAUUCAUUCUCUCUCUCUCGCUCGCUCUCUGUCUGUCUCUCUCUCUUCUUGGACCACCAUUUGUUAAGGAAACAUCUGACUAUGGAUUUCAGGAGUCUGGGAAGCAGAGGGAAGAAGACAUUGACAGCUUACUUAUUUCCCUGUAGAGGUCCCAUUUGCCAACGCUGCUCCCAAGAUCUCCACCCACUACAAGAGAAGUACCAGGUCAAGGGUAUUGAUAGUGACUGAGGAACAGAACGUUACAAAUCCCACCUGGAAUUUUCUGAACCUACCUUGAAAGAAGGAGGGUCGAGGGUAAAGCAGAUCAA